AUCGGGGCAGGGUGAGUCGACCCCUAAGGCGAGGCCGAAAGGCGUAGUCGAUGGGAAACAGGUUAAUAUUCCUGUACUUGGUGUUACUGCGAAGGGGGGGACGGAGAAGGCUAUGUUAGCCGGGCGACGGUUGUCCCGGUUUAAGCAUGUAGGCUGGUUAUCCAGGCAAAUCCGGAUAAUCAAGGCUGAGGUGUGAUGACGAGGCACUACGGUGCUGAAGUAACAAAUGCCCUGCUUCCAGGAAAAGCCUCUAAGCAUCAGGUAACAUCAAAUCGUACCCCAAACCGACACAGGUGGUCAGGUAGAGAAUACCAAGGCGCUUGAGAGAACUCGGGUGAAGGAACUAGGCAAAAUGGUGCCGUAACUUCGGGAGAAGGCACGCUGGUGUGUAGGUGAAGUCCCUGCGGAUGGAGCUGAGACCAGUCGAAGAUACCAGCUGGCUGCAACUGUUUAUUAAAAACACAGCACUGUGCAAACACGAAAGUGGACGUAUACGGUGUGACGCCUGCCCGGUGCCGGAAGGUUAAUUGAUGGGGUUAUCCGUAAGGAGAAGCUCUUGAUCGAAGCCCCGGUAAACGGCGGCCGUAACUAUAACGGUCCUAAGGUAGCGAAAUUCCUUGUCGGGUAAGUUCCGACCUGCACGAAUGGCGUAAUGAUGGCCAGGCUGUCUCCACCCGAGACUCAGUGAAAUUGAACUCGCUGUGAAGAUGCAGUGUACCCGCGGCAAGACGGAAAGACCCCGUGAACCUUUACUAUAGCUUGACACUGAACAUUGAGCCUUGAUGUGUAGGAUAGGUGGGAGGCUUUGAAGCGUGGACGCCAGUCUGCGUGGAGCCAACCUUGAAAUACCACCCUUUAAUGUUUGAUGUUCUAACGUUGGCCCCUUACCGGGGUUGCGGACAGUGUCUGGUGGGUAGUUUGACUGGGGCGGUCUCCUCCCAAAGCGUAACGGAGGAGCACGAAGGUUAGCUAAUCCUGGUCGGACAUCAGGAGGUUAGUGCAAUGGCAUAAGCUAGCUUGACUGCGAGCGUGACGGCGCGAGCAGGUGCGAAAGCAGGUCAUAGUGAUCCGGUGGUUCUGAAUGGAAGGGCCAUCGCUCAACGGAUAAAAGGUACUCCGGGGAUAACAGGCUGAUACCGCCCAAGAGUUCAUAUCGACGGCGGUGUUUGGCACCUCGAUGUCGGCUCAUCACAUCCUGGGGCUGAAGUAGGUCCCAAGGGUAUGGCUGUUCGCCAUUUAAAGUGGUACGCGAGCUGGGUUUAGAACGUCGUGAGACAGUUCGGUCCCUAUCUGCCGUGGGCGCUGGAGAAUUGAGGGGGG
rnacentral:rRNA from 1 species